AAGCGGGGGCAACCCCGUGAGUAAAGUGGCGACCGGGUGAGUAACACGUGACUAACCUACCCUCUGGCGGGGAAUAACCUCGGGAAACCGGGGCUAAUACCGCAUAACAUCCGCGGGUGCAAUUCCUGCGGAUCAAAGGAGCAAUUCGCCGGAGGAGGGGGUCGCGGCUGAUUAGCUAGUUGGCGGGGUAACGGCCCACCAAGGCUUUGAUCAGUAGCCGGCCUGAGAGGGCGCACGGCCACACUGGAACUGAAACACGGUCCAGACUCCUACGGGAGGCAGCAGUGGGGAAUUUUGCGCAAUGGGGGAAACCCUGACGCAGCAACGCCGCGUGGAGGAUGAAGUUCCUUGGG
rnacentral:rRNA from 1 species